GGCGAUGCAAGAAGUUAUCUUGAACUGGUAUAAUCAAAUCUCAAAAAUUCAUAACAUAUACCAUCCCAAGAACUGGGAUUUACAUCAAUCUCAAAAGUUCUUAGCAUCUUUUUGAACUUUCUGAGAAGAAUAAUUUAACUUGGACAAGGCAUUGAUGAUUGCACAUCAAUGGAGGAAAGCUCAAGAAUUACUGGUCAGUCACUUUUCACUUCAAUAUCUUAAACAGAGGAGGAAUAUAUGCGAAUGAAAACCUAAGCUCUCAGUACUCAUCCGCUGUAUCAUCCUCUCUUGAUGUUGCUAACACCAGCCUUCUUACUUCCGUUAAUCGUGAGAUAACUAAUUCCUUUAAAUUUGCAGAUUUGGAUCAAAUAUUAUUCGUUGUUUUGCUGAAAAUUUACCCCUUUUCUCUCAGAUUCGCUGAACCCAGUAAUGAUGCAUGUUCUAAGAUCAACUCCAUGAUUAUCCCCUGCUGUGAAGACUUGAUAGAGCCCAAGAGUGAUCACAGUCACAAUAUUGUAGAGAUCACAAACAACACAGGGAAAUAUCUUCUUGAUGAAAACUUAGUGGAUAAACCUUCGUGUUCAACGCCCAGGAAAAGACCAAACGACAUACCAAGCAUUGAGUCCAUUGAGGUACUUAGAAUUCCAGUAUCUGAGACUUACUGAGAGCGUUUCAAGAUGGGAAACUGUUGAUGCAGGCCAAUGGUGAUGCAAAGGAGCAGCAACACCUUAUACGUGCUUUCUCUGUCUAUGCAGCAGCUGUGUCGGACUCAAGAUCUCCUCUCUCUGCUGUUAACUGAUACCCAAAGAGGAUUAGUCAUAAAUAAGCCAAGAAAAGAAGGUUAUUAACUUAUUAUUGUGUCACACUCUACAGAAAGAGUAUUGUUGCAUACAUGUCAACUUAUUUUCUUCAUGGAACUGGUUUGAGGAUUUUUACAAAAAACUUUUCUUAGUAUUCUUUAUUUGUUUAGUUAAGAUUUGUAUUGUUUAUUAGUUGGAACAAAAUAAUUUUUUUUAUCUUCUGAAUCAGUAUAUUAUGAGUCCUGUUAGUUUUAAUUACAAGCAAUUCUAUUAGGUUUACGGUGUUGGAUACGUCAUGAGCUUGAGAUUAGCGAUUUCUAAUGGUAUAGUUCCAGUUAAAAAUUGUUGCUGAGUUCAAGGUAAUUUAAACGGGGCAAGAUGGAUUCUGAAUCUGGUAAUGGACCAGUAUAUUGGUUUCCUCUAACCGAAAUCGUUUUUAUGUUGGUAAGUAUGCCUGUGUUGGCCGGACAAGGACCAUGGAGACGGAUACCACUGAGGCUAAAGGACUGCAGAUUUGGCUAUGGCGAAAUAAAUGGUUGGAAAGGUCCGGUCAUGUUUUUAAGAUUGAUAAAGGUGAGCAUUUCUAAAUACUGGACUUUUGCCAGCGACAGGGAGAUAAUGCCAGUAAGAACAAAUAUGGGAUUAACCGAAUCUAUGUGGACAGUGUGUUCGACAACUCUGUGAUCACCCUUAUAGCAACAAAAACGUCCCACAAGCAAUAAUCAGUACCUUUCUUUCAGUUACUUAAAACUACUAAAGAGUCUUGGGUUAUACUAUAUUGGAAAGCGAAAAGACCGCCUCAUCAUCGGGAUGCGACGCAGCAGCUCCCUUGGAUUUAGAUAUGGACAAAAGAUAGUGGCGCUAAGAUGACGAGAUGGAAAGAACAAGAGUUCAUGGUGUUGUUGUUUUAAAUAUAACUAAUGAUGUGAACAAAUAUUUGACAUGCGUAAAAGGAAAAUACGAAGAGAGAGAUGCAACAAGGUUUAAUCAGAAGUUUAAUAUCCAAUGAAAUUCAUUAAAAUAAAACGAAGAUAAAAAAUUCUAUUGUUGAUGUCCAUCAAAAUUGUGUUAUUGUUUUCAUCAAAAUUGUGGGUUCCAUCUGUAAACAAAAUGUUAGUAUCUAUGUUAGUACUUAUUAUCUAUGUAAAUACAUACAACACACAUGAACAAUCGUUAGAAGAAGAAGCAACCAAGUUUCAUGAAGCAAUCUAUACUAUAAAAAUAAUUUGUUUAUUGUUCUGUAAAACUAUCCACGUAGGCAUGGAAAUUCAGAAAAAGAUUGACCCAGUUAAACGUCAUGAGCAGCUCAAUCCAUUCUUCUUCAUUUUUUCUUAUCUACUUUAAAAAUCAUUUUUUCCUGUUAAUAGAUAGUAUAACAGGGGUGGUCCUGAGCAUAGAGAAGUAAAACAUAGGACUAGGAUUCCCAAUUUUUUAGAAAAGAAAUUACACAAAGUCUCCAAAAUCAUAAAAAAAAAUUGUUAAAACUUCAGUAAAAUAUUUAUGGCCCCCAUCAUUUCAGGAACGCCCUUGACUACCAUUAGAACAUACUCCGAAAUCUGAUACUUUUAAAUAUUAGUUAUUUUACCUUAUAUUUUUUCAACUAUAUCAAAUUGAAAUAGAAAUCGAAUAGAAAAAUUUUGUGUUCUCUAACAAAAACAUUGUUAAUGGUUUUUUCAACUCAAACCAACAAAACUUAAUUAAACCUACAAUAUAUUUUUUGAAUAAAAACAGAUUACGUUUAUUAUUUUCAGUAUAAAGUAAAAUUUCAAAUAUUUUAUAAAAUUAAAAUAUAUUCUAAUAUAAAAUAGUUUUAGUGUAAAUUCAUCCGCCCGUAGGGCGGACAGACCCCUAGUAUUAUUAAUAACACAUAAAUGUGCAAUAUUCGGAGCAUAUUAUUCAAUUUAUGUUCCUUCUAUAUGCAACAUAAUUUAUUGACCGGUUGAGCAUAUACUCAUAUUUUUAAUCACUUUUCGAUCAUGUUACUAAACUGUAAAAUAUUAGAAUUUACAUUUUAUACAAUCAUAAAAUUCUUAGCCUUCUUAUGUGUAUUUAUACUAAAUUUUAUACAAUUAUAAUUUUUUAGGUUUUAUCAGAUUAUUAAUUAAUCAAUUUUAAUUAAACCCAAAUUUGUAAAAACAUAUCAGUUGAUAGAACUUCUGAUAGAAUGCUACAUGAAGAACAUAUGCCAAUCCGGAUUAUAUAUGGCUAUGGGGUUUAUCAGAACGACCACGGGUCCGGAUCAGAUAAAAACACUGUUUAUAUCUUAAUUCGACUAUAAACCACAUAUGUACCCCCACUAAAAGGGGUUAAACUAUUUGUAAAAAUAGAAUACUUCUUCGUACUAUUUCAAUUUAAAUUCACUGUUAGUCUGUAGCAUUCGGUUUCGGUUUGAGUAUUUUGGUAUUUUGGUUCACGAAAUUUAGGAACAGUUGUUUACAAAGUUUGCUUUGGUUUUAGUUGAGUUGUUUUGUUUUUCUUUUAUUUGGCUCAUUAGCAAAGUUGAGAAUCGCCAAAUAUGCAAAAACAAAUUGGGUCCAAUUCAGUUAUUGUUCGAUUCUGGUAUUUCAGAUAGUUACAAAUUUAUAGAUAAAAAUAUUAGAUAAUUUGAUUGUUCGGAUAAAAAUAUGAGAUCAUUCGAAUAAUUUUAAUAAUAUAAAUACAAAAAAUUUGGGUAAUUCGGUUUAUAUAUAGUAUUUUAAAAAUAUUUGGUUAUUUAUAAAUUAAAUAUAAUUAAUAUUAGUAAAUAUAUAGUUUAUAUUUUAAAAUUUCAGUUACUCAUUUGGUUCUCCGUUAAUUAUAAAAUUCAGUUUAUUUUUAGUUUCAGGAUUUUCAGUUUGGUACAAUUUAGUUCGUGGUUCCGAAUAAAUGUGAUCAAAUCUAUACGAAAUAUAUUAUAUAAAAAUUCAUUUAAAAUAUUUUUUAUUUAAAAAAAAACUCGCACUUUCCAAUCGCAAGUCAAAAUCUAGUGGCACAUUAUACUACAUACAUUAUACCGAAAAAGUACACCAUUCUUAAGUUUUCUAACAUUACAUAAAUUUCUGUGAACUUUUUCUUAUCACUAAAAAAUUCUGUAAACUCAAUGUAUAGUGGCAUCUCCAAUGAUUUACAUCAUUUUGUAAGCUCAAAAUGAUUUCUUAUUUUACUUAAGUGGUUUUCUUCAUUUUUCUCCUCAAAAUAGAAUAAUCUAUAUAUAUUAUAUUAUUAAUAUUUAUUAUUAGUUCUAAUAAUGUUUGGUAUUUUUAAAAUAUACAAAUUUUAUCCAAAAAUAAUUUUAUUUUAACUAUAUCUAUAUUAUAUAUAUAUAUAUAUAGUUUCUAAAAGAAUAUAAAUGACAUACAUUGUUAUAAUUGUAUUAUAAAAGGGUUAUUGAAAAUUUUAAAGUAUAAAAUACAAAUAAUAAAUCUUUAUAGAUAUAAAAAUUAUAUAAAAGUUUAAAGAUCGAUUUAUAAAUGAGAAAAAAGUCUAACACAAAAAUGAGAUUGUAAAUAGUGUUCCUUUGAAUUUGAGGGAAGACUAUUCACAAACUUAUUUUUUCUUUCGAAAUAAUGUAUUAAUAAAAGAUGGUAUCGCUUAUUUUUGAUGUUUUUCUUCAAAAUGAAGUACAAUUGGUGAUGGUCUAAAUGUAAUGGAGUCAGAAUGUAUCUUUUAUUUUCUUUUUUCAUCUGAAAUUCUAUUGAUUUUAAUAUAAGCAGUGAACCUUAUAAAACACAGUCUCAACCCUACACUAAAAAGCUACACAUUCGAUUAAAGGAUACACAAGCCGCAGAGUAUCCUACACAUUUGAAGUGUCUCCAAGUUCAACCCCAAAAAUCCCCAAAAAGAAAACACAUGUCAGAGGCCUCGGCUUUCAUUGACAAAAUAUUCAAAUAACCAGUCUGGAUGACUGGAGGCCACAUACGAUUGCAUUAAGCCAUACUUUGUCACACUUUGUGCAAUGAUAGACGCUCCUCUAUUUGCUUCUCUAGUCACCACCCGAAGCUGCUUAUCACUGAUCCCACUCAGCUUCAACUCAAUCUCCCCCGCCUGAUACAAGAACGCAGGCCACACAGUCUGAGUACCGCUCCGAUCAGUUCUCCCAUUUCCCCUUCAAAAAUCACAUUGUUAAUUCGCUGGCUCUGCAUGCUCUCAAUACCCCAAAGAAGAACUGAAAAUUUUGCUUUACCAGAUUCUGAAUGUUUGCAAAAACUCUUUGUGAGUGGCACAAAAUCACUCCUAUUUCGUUUCUCAAAACCCAAACAGCCCCUACUAGUGACCUUUGUUUACAUUAUCGCAUCCCAAUAUUGCAGGUAACCCAUUUGGCCGGAGGCAGGGUCCAUUUGCACCCUUUUACAACAUAUAUAUUUUCUUCUAUCCUCACAGCCUCUUCCUCAAAUCUUUGUGCCUGAAACCAUUUCUCUGAGUCCUACUCCGCUUUACUAACAAUGUCCAAAGCUGAGAAAGCCCCAUUGUCAAAAAGAAAAUAGUUCUUAUUUUUUCCACAAUUGCCACAAAACCCAAGGCCAAACUCUCCUUGCUUCGAUCCCUAUCGAUGUUCUGGUCAGUGACAGAAGAAAAAUUAAAUUCUCAAAGAUAGAAUGGAGAUGGAAACCUCGUUGAGGAUGAGGGAUGGUGGAAAGAGCCCAUGCUUGACGUGCAACAGUGCUAGAGAAUAUAAUAUGGUUGAUAGAUUCACCCUCCUCGCCACAUGCUUGACAUCUAUUAUCAACCUUCAUCCCUCGACGUUCCAGAGAUAAGCCGGUUGGAAAAGCAUCACUUAAGACUUUCCAGAGAAAGCAUUUAAGCUUGGAAGAAAUAAUAACCUUCCAAACUUGAUUUAUAAGCUCAUUUAUAUAUGGUAGCAUCUCUGCUUUCCUUCUCACAUCAGUGAUUUUUUGAGACGUCGCUAACAAAUACGAAAAACUUUACCGAGAAAGCUCCACUCCUGUUGACUUUCCACGACCAAAAAUCAUCUCUUUGAGCAACAUGUUGGUUUGCCAUCAUCCAUUUAACAUCUCCUGGAACAAACAUUUCCUCAAGUGCUUGUCUGUUCUAUCUUCUUGAAUCUUGGUCGAUGAGUGAGGAAGCCAAAAUAUUGACAUCAUAUGAGUAAUUCUUUAUCCACAGUGCUCUCAUUCCCUCAACAUCAUCGUCAACCCAUUUGUCAAUUCAUACUCUUGUCUUUCUACCAUUCCUCAUCUGAUGCUUGAGACCCUUGAGUAAAAGCCCCCUUCCAAAAAGGAUGCUUUGCCAUUCAUAAGAUGAUCUGUCUUCAAGGGUAGCAUGAAGGAAAUCACACCGCAGAAAGUAUAUGCUCCGUAAGAAACUUGGCAUCAACGAGUUUGGCUUUGUAAGGAUAAUCCAGGCUUGUUUAGCCAGGAUCGCCUAAUUAAAACACUUCAAAUCCCCAAAACCCAAGCCUUCCAAGUCCUUGGGUAAACGUAUUUUAUUCCAAGCCACCCAAUGAAUUUUCGUGUAUGACCAUCCAAACUCCACCAAAAGUCAUCCAUGAUGUUGGAGAGGUUGGAUAAGACUGUCUUUGGAAUCCAAAAAUACGACAUCGCAAACACUGGAUUGCUGAUGCAGUCGCUUUGAGUAAAACUUUCUUUCUCCUCUGUGAUAGCUUUCACAAUACCAUCCAUCUAAUCAAGAUUUUGAUUUCUCUUUUAUAUAUGACAAUAGAUCAACCUUUGAUCCGGAAAAGCACUCAGUUAAUCCUAGAUACUUACUAGUGCCCCCUGCAUUUAAAAUCUCCAUUAUCCUCCUGAUUUCUGUUUCAACCUCAUCACUGACCCUAUCACCAAAAGACAUGGAAGAUUUUUGGUAAUUGAUGUCUUGGCCAGUGGCUGCUCAAUAUCUCUUUAAGAUGUCAUGAAGGACUUUAUUUUGGGACACUUUCACUUAACAAACAAAGAGACUGUCCUCAGCAAAGAGGAGAUGAUGCAAGCUAGGACCACCUUGUAUCGCUCCUUCUUCUUCUGCCUUGUUAAGGAGAUGUGUGAGACUUCGGUACACAAGACAGAUAAAAAAGAAGACAGAAGAUCACCUUGACGAAUGCCUUUACCAAGGAUAUCAAGCCAAAAGGUUGGUCAUUAAUGAGCACUGCAAAUGUUACCGUCAUAAUACACAUCAUGAUCCAAUGAGCCCAUUGGUCACUGAAACCCUUACGAUCAUAAGACUUUUCAAAUAGUUCCAUUUCACUCUAUCAUUUCAACAUGUCGGUUUUUACGGUCAUAUAAUCCUCCGAUGCUAUCUGAUCAACCUUCAACACAUGGACUGCUUCAUGUGCGAUAAUAAUAUUAUCUGAGAUGAGCCUUUCAGUCACGAAAGCAGUCUGAUUGCUCUAUAUGAGAUCCCUCAGCAAAGGUUUGAGGCAUUUUAUGAGAAUGUUUGAAACCGCUUUAUAGAGUACAGAACAUAGGCUGAUAGCUCUGACGUCUGUCGUUACUUCUAAUUUAGGGAUCUUUAGAAUUAAGCAUAGGUAUGUGAAAUUUCAAUCUGUAAGCAUAAAAAAAAACCUCUUGAACCUCCUUUACAACAUGUUCACCUAUUAUUCCCUAAUCCCUGUUCAAAAAUGCGGGCGUUUAGGCGCCCUCCUAAUCGCUAUAUGGACACCAGCUUAAGCGAUUUUGAUAUAAUAAGCCAAUAAAAUAGGAGACCAUUUACUCGACCCAUUAAGUCGAUUAGGCGGCCCAAUAAAAUAUUAAGCGGCCUAAUUAACGACUAAUCAUGCCACCAAUUAAACUUCAAUUAUAAACUAAGAAAGUAUUUACUGGGCUUGACAGGAAGCCCGAAGCCCAAAUACUCUACUAUUCUCCUAGCAUGACUAUUCUAUAUAUAGAAUAAGAUUUUGCCUCUCUUUUCUUUUCUAACCGAUGUGGGACUUUGUCCAUCUAAUACAAAUAAUGCGAAAAUAUUAAAUUACAACUAGAGAGCAUCAAAUCCGGGCUGAUGGACCUAAAACAUCACACUUGGCCACUAGGAGACAUCAAACUUUAUCUACUUUUACACAUAUGUUAAUAUAUAGACAUAUACAUAUGAUAAAAAUUCAAAAACUAGUCUAGAUUAAUUUGUGUUUCAAUUAUAUGGCAUUCAUAUAUACUGACAAUUAAUUUUUGUUAAACCCAUAAAUAUAAAUUCAAUAAUAACAUACAAAAAACUAUUACAUUCUAAUAUAUUUAUAUUUUAUAUUUAAUUUAAAUAUUAAAUAAAUAAAAUAAUAAUUAAACUAAUUUCCGCGUAUAUCCCUUUUAAUCUCGAGUUUUUUGGUAAUUUGCUAGGUCUGGGAUUGCCAUCCGACUAGCACUUAGCAUAGUUACGAACAAGGGUCCCAAUACCUCUGGAAGAAUAAACCCGAAAUCCCGUCAAGACCAGUAUUGUUUUGAUAUUAACAAUAAUAGUAAUGUGGUUUGUAAAAGAAUUAAUUUUUGUUGUAAAACCAGUGAACUGAAGUAUUUUCGAAAGAAGAAAGUAAUGGGCCGCCUCUUUGACUGGAUCUGUGCAUUGGGAUGGCUACGUAAUCCCUACUGCCUUGGCACUCUUUCUGUUUUGGACUUCGUUUAGAGCAUCUUUAUCCCAUGAGAAAAGGGAGCGCUUAAAGUUUGGGGUCCCACCAAAAACUCAAGCACCGCUGCUUCUGCCUGCUAAAUAAGCAUCGUGUUUCUUUUGUUACUUGUUCUAUUUGUGAGCCUCACGAAUACGCGGUGGCCCACAAUUGAUUCUUUUUUUAGUCAGAUAAAUAAAUUAAAAAAAAAAAUUUAAAAAUUAAAAAUUAAGUAUCCCUAAUAGAAUGCUGGGAUAAAGAUGGUCUUAGUAUGAUCUUUAUUUACUCUUUUUUAAUAAAAAGGAUAUUUGUAAAGAGUAGAGCUACUGAUAUUUUUUAUUGGCACCCAUAUUUAUGAUGUGGUUAAGGAUAUCAUUAAAUAAGGUAGCUUGUCACAAACUACAUUUUCUAUAGAGUAGCUGACUGAUUUUGUUUUUCGUUUUGUCCAAAAAUAUUAGCCAUUUGAUGUAAUGUUACUGCUGGGUCCUGAGUCCUGACCAAAGAGAUAAACAUAUUGAUAGGCUUUUUCUUUGAAAAUAGAUGCACUUAUAGCCUUUAGGUAAUAAACUUUUCACAAUACAAAGAAUACUCAUAUUUAUCAAAAAAAAAAAGAAAUGCUUAAACAAUUCUUAUAAUUGAGUCUAAAAAGUUUGAAGUAAAAAUUAAUUAAACUACAAAUAUGACCUUUUCACUAAAAGAAAACCAUUUAAAAGAAAACUGAGACUGGCCAACGCUUUAUUCUAGCCAGGAAAAAUUGCUAUUUAGACUGUUUGGUUAGUUUACCUGUCUUGAAGUUUGAUUUAUUUCUAAAUAGUAAAGAAAAUUAUAAAUAUAUAUUGCAAAAGACGAGGGAUAUUGUGUAAUUUAAAAGUUUGCAAGUGAGGUUUUGUGUUUUAUUUUAAAUAAAAGAAAUACUUCUACGUUUCAAUAUAGAUGAUAUUUUAGAUGAUUAUUGUUGUUUUACAAUAAAUAAUGUUUUCUCAUAUUUAGGUAACUUUAACUAUACCAAAAAAUGUGUAGUUAAUUGUAUCUUUACUAUUUUUGUUUAUAAUUAAAUAAUUAGUUUAAAUUAUAUUUUAAUGAUUUUCUGUUUAGAGAAUUAAUUUAUUAAUAUGUGUGAAAAUGUUUUUUAUCUAUCUAUUAUAAAACAGAAGAUGUAUAAAUCAGAUAAGAGAAUAGCAAGACGUGAAAGGCCCACGCCAACUGAUGUUUUCAUUUCACGUGACAAGACUUAGGUCUUAAGGUAUGAGUGAAUAUACAUGUUAGAGUAAGCAUUUAUUUCAAAUUCAGUUUUUAUUCAGGUUUUAUUAGAGUUUUUAGACAUUUUAUUCUAAAAGUGAAUAAAACGAGACUAAAUUCUUUCUCUAUUUUCAAGAAGUGAGAAACUGUACUCUAAUUUUUAAAAUUUUAUUUUUUUCACCUUAUUUUUUCACCAUUUUACUCUAUUGCUAACCAAUCGUACUCCUAAACUCUGUCGUCCAAAAUAGAUGCACUUAUAGCCUUUAGUUAAUAAACUUUUCACAAUACAAAGAAUACUCAUAUUUAUCAAAAAAAGAAAUGCUUAAACAAUUCUUAUAAUUGAGUCUAAAAAGUUUGAAGUAAAAAUUAAUUAAACUACAAAUAUGACCUUUUAUCUAAAAGAAAACCAUUUAAAAGAAGACUGGCCAACGCUUUAUUCUAGCCAGGAGAAAUUGCUAUUUAGACUGUUUGGUUAGUUUACCUGUCUUGAAGUUUGAUUUAUUUCUAAAUAGUAAAGAAAAUUAUAAAUAUAUAUUGCAAAAGACGAGGGAUAUUGUGUAAUUUAAAAUUUUGCAAGUGAGUUUUUAUGUUUUAUUUUAAAUAAAAGAAAUACUAUUACAUUUCAAUAUAGAUGAUAUUUUAGAUGAUUAUUGUUGUUUCACAAUAAAUAAUAUUUUUUUCAUAUUUACGUAAUUUUAGCAUUAUCAAAAAAUAUGUAGUCAAUUGUAUUUUUACUAUUUUUGUUUAUAAUUAAAUAAAUUAGUUUAAAUUAUAUUUUAAUUGUUUUCUGUUUAGAGAAAGUAAUUUAUUAAUAUGUGUGAAAUUUUUUUUUUAUCUAUCUAUUAUAAAACAGAAGAUGUAUAAAUCAGAUAAGAGAAUAGUAGGACGUGAAAGGCCCAUGCCAACUGAUGUUUUCAUUUCACGUGACAAGACUUAGGCCUUAAGAUGUGAGUGAAUAUACAUGUUAGAGUAAGCAUUUAUUUCAAAUUCAGUUUUUAUUCAGGUUUUAUUAAAGUUUUUAGUCAUUUUAUUCUAAAAGUGAAUGAAACAAGACUAAAUUCUUUCUCUAUUUUCAAGAAGUGAGAAACUGUACUCUAAUUUUUUAAAAAUUUAUCUUUUUUUACUUUAUAUUUUCACCAUUUCACUCUAUUGCUAACCAAUCGUACUCCUAAACUCUGUCGUCCAAAAAAAAGACUAUGUCGGUCCAUAUCUGUCAUAAUUUAUACAUGUGCGAACUCUUUGAUGUCUAAAUUUUGACAAACUUGUAGUACUAUUAUUAUUACUUUAUUAAAUUUACCCUGUAAAUAAAUAAAAAAUACCAUAGAGCUAAAAUGAGAGAGAGAGAGAGAGAGAGAGAGAGAGAGAGAGAGAGAGAGAGAGAGAGAGAGA